rnacentral:rRNA from 1 species
GAUGAACGCUGGCGGCGUGCCUAAUACAUGCAAGUCGAGCGAACGGACGAGAAGCUUGCUUCUCUGAUGUUAGCGGCGGACGGGUGAGUAACACGUGGAUAACCUACCUAUAAGACUGGGAUAACUUCGGGAAACCGGAGCUAAUACCGGAUAAUAUUUUGAACCGCAUGGUUCAAAAGUGAAAGACGGUCUUGCUGUCACUUAUAGAUGGAUCCGCGCUGCAUUAGCUAGUUGGUAAGGUAACGGCUUACCAAGGCAACGAUGCAUAGCUGACCUGAGAGGGUGAGCGGCCACACUGGAACUGAGAGACGGUCCAGACUCCUACGGGAGGCAGCAGUAGGGAAUCUUCCACAAGGGGCGAAUGCCUGACGGUGCAACGCCGCGUGAGUGAUGAAGGUCUUCGGAUCGUAAAACUCUGUUAUUAGGGAAGAACAUAUGUGUAAGUAACUGUGCACAUCUUGACGGUACCUAAUCAGAAAGCCACGGCUAACUACGUG